UCCCAGGUGGCUUAGUGGUGAAGAAUCUGCCUGCCAAGCAGGAGAUGCAGGUUCGAUCCCUGGGUUGGAAA
rfam:Ovis aries breed Texel chromosome 1, whole genome shotgun sequence.